rnacentral:rRNA from 1 species
AAUAUUGCACAAUGGAGGAAACUCUGAUGCAGCGACGCCGCGUGAACGAUGAAGGCCUUCGGGUCGUAAAGUUCUGUCCUGGGGGACGAUACUGACGGUACCCCAGGGGGAAGCCCCGGCUGCCUCAGUUCCAGCAGCCGCGGGAAUACGUAGUGGGCGAGCGUUGUGCGGAAUUAUUUGGCGUAAAGGGUUCGUAGGCGGUUUUUUAAGACAGAUGAGAAAGGUCACGGCUCAACCGUGGUAAGCAUUUGAAACUGAAAGACUUGAGUUAAGGAGAGGAAAGUGGAAUUCCUAGUGUAGCGGUGAAAUGCGUAGAUAUUAGGAGGAAUACCAGUGGCGAAGGAGACUUUCUGGACUUAUACUGACGCUGAGGAACGAAAGCGUGGGGAGCAAACAG